AUGCACGAAAGCGUGGGGAGCAAAAGGAUAAAAUACCCUGGUAGUCCACGCCCUAAACGAUGUCAUCUAGCUGUUGGGGCCUUCGGGCCUUAGUAGCGCAGCUAACGCGUGAAGUUGACCGCCUGGGGAGUACGGUCGCAAGAUUAAAACUCAAAGGAAUUGACGGGGACCCGCACAAGCGGUGGAUGAUGUGGAUUAAUUCGAUGCAACGCGAAAAACCUUACCUACCCUUGACAUGUCUGGAAUCCCGAAGAGAUUUGGGAGUGCUCGCAAGAGAACUGGAACACAGGUGCUGCAUGGCUGUCGUCAGCUCGUGUCGUGAGAUGUUGGGUUAAGUCCCGCAACGAGCGCAACCCUUGUCAUUAGUUGCUACGAAAGGGCACUCUAAUGAGACUGCCGGUGACAAACCGGAGGAAGGUGGGGAUGACGUCAAGUCCUCAUGGCCCUUAUGGGUAGGGCUUCACACGUCAUACAAUGGUCGGGACAGAGGGUUGCCAACCCGCGAGGGGGAGCUAAUCUCACAAACCCGAUCGUAGUCCCGGAUUGCAGUCUGCAACCUCGACUGCAUGAAAGUCGGAAAUCGCUAGUAAUCGCGGAUCAGAAAUGUCGCGGGUGAAUUACCGUUUCCCGGGGUCCUUGUACACACCGCCCCGUCACACCAUGGGGAGUGGGUUUUUC
rnacentral:rRNA from 1 species